AGCGAACGCUGGCGGUAGGCCUAACACAUGCAAGUCGAACGGCAGCACAGUAAGAGCUUGCUCUUACGGGUUGCGAGUGGCGGGAGGGUGAGGAAUACAUCGGAAUCUACUUUUUCGUGGGGGAUCACGUAGGGAAGCUUACGCUCAUACCGCAUACGCCCUACGGUUGGAAGCAGGGGAUCUUCGGACCUUGCGCGAUUGAAUGAGCCGAUGUCGGAUUAGCUAGUUGGCGGGGUAAAGGCCCACCAAGGCGACGAUCCGUAGCUGGUCUGAGAGGAUGAUCGGCCACACUGGAACUGAGACACGGUCCAGACUCCUACGGGAGGCAGCAGUGGGGAAUAUUGGACAAUGGGCGCAAGCCUGAUCCAGCCAUACCGCGUGGGUGAAGAAGGCCUUCGGGUUGUAAAGCCCUUUUGUUGGGAAAGAAAAGCAGCAGGUUAAUACCCCGCUGUUCUGGCGGUACCCAAAGAAUAAGCACCGGCUAACUUCGUG
rnacentral:rRNA from 1 species